rnacentral:lncRNA from 1 species
UUUAAAUAUUAAAUUGAUUACCAAUAAUAAGCUUUUUAAAUAAGUUAUUUACCAAAAAUAACCUUUGAUAUGAUAUUAAAUAAAUGUAUCUUUUUGCAAUGUUCUUUUUAAUAAUCUUUACAUUUUAUUUUAACUUAUAAGUCAUUAUCAGCCGAACACCUUCAUAACUUAUUUUAACUUAAUUUGUGACUUAUAAGUCAUUAUCAGCUGAACGCU